AAUCAACGCUGGCGGCGUGCCUCAGACAUGCAAGUCGAACGCGAAAGUUCCCUUCGGGGGAGCGAGUAGAGUGGCGCACGGGUGAGUAACACGUGGAUAAUUUACCUUCGGGUGGGGAAUAACAACCGGAAACGGUUGCUAAUACCGCAUAAUGCAGCGGCGUCUAUGAUGACAGUUGUUAAAGCGGGGGAUCGCAAGACCUCGCGCCUGAAGAGAAGUCCGCGGCAGAUUAGCUAGUUGGUAGGGUAAUGGCCUACCAAGGCGACGAUCUGUAGCCGGCCUGAGAGGGCGGUCGGCCACACUGACACUGACAUACGGGUCA
rnacentral:rRNA from 1 species